GAGAGCUGUAACAUUCAGCCCUAAAUGCUGCCAUGGGGUCGGAGCCCAUGGUCCUCAAGACCCGCCCGCCUACAUGCUGCCCUUAGGGGCUGGAGCUGUGGGGCACUGAAACAGCCAGUCACAGCCCCAUCACAUGCCCGGCAAGGGGCUAGGACUUCCAGUACCAUGCUGAACAAUGACGGGAAAAGUAGGUAUCCUUGUUGUGUCCCAGAAGUUAGAGGGUCUAGAUCUUGAAGAUUCAGUGCUUGAAUUCCUCAGACAGAAGUUCUUAUUCAGAAUGACUUGCUAUUUCAUUUCCAUGUGUAUGCUUUGAGGCCACUUGUCUAAAAAAGGAUAAUUUUUUUUGCCAUUUGUAAAACUAAAUCUUAGAUAAGAGCCAAGAAAGAUACAUGCUGGGAUUCAUACCCUAAGGGAACCACAGUGGAAGAGUGAAUGCCUGUGAAUGCCUCUGAAAGCCAAAAGUUUGAGGAAAAGUUGUGAAGAGAGGAGCAGUCUUCAUGGUGAGCCUAAUAAAAAUAAGAAUUUAACUAAAUUAGCAAAGCAAUGACAUUGAUUUUCAAAAUGUUCCCUAAUAGAAUCUAACACUGCACUGGCAUAUAUGACAGAAGAAAUACUAUUUUAACCUUCGGUAAUUUUAUUAAUUAUAAUUAUGUAAUGAAAUAUGCAGUCCUCAUUGCAGUCACAUUUUUCUUGAGGAGCUCAACUGCAAACUUCAACAAAGCUGCUGACCUUCAGUUCAGAAAAGAUUGUGUGAAUUUCAUUAUGAAUAGUAUUGAAAAUGUUUGUCAGAUGUAAAUUGAAAGCAGCAUCUAUUUAUAACACAAAAAAACUGAUGCAACUUAGUAAGCUGAAUGUUCUUUAAAAAGUAACUUUUGAAAGUGUUUUGUUUUGUUUAAAUUAUAUUACAAGAGCUACCUUGGCAUAUAACAGCCUUGAGUCUAUUCAGAGGAUGGUUACAGGAGUUCAAUAGAAACUGUCCAGUAUGCACUCCACUAUUAAAGCAUUUACUAUAAAUACUGUGGCUGUAUAACUCUGUGUGCCUAUAACAUUGUCUUGGAAAUGAAGUUCUUGUUAUUUAAAUAUAUUUUUUUAAAUGUUGACAAUUAUGUACUUAGAAUAAUGGAACUAACUUGUAAUAAUUAAAACAUUGAAGUUAUUAUCUAUGCUUUCUGGUGUUUGAUAGAUAUGUUGUCCAGAAAAAGAAGUAAAUUUGCAUUGUUUUCUUGAGAAAACACUAGUUUCUGACCCUGUGUGAUCCACUGUUGGCUCCAAAUAUAGUAAUAGGACUCAUCUCUUUAAGAGUAUUCUAGAUCAGUUUGAAAUACAGUAGACACUCAAAAAACAAAUGUUAAAUUACUGAAUGUUUCAAAUUAUAAUGUAUAUUAAUUUUAUUUAGAAUGUGGCAAAUAUAUACAUUAAUUAC
rnacentral:lncRNA from 1 species